UACGUAGGGGGCGAGCGUUGUCCGGAGUUACUGGGCGUAAAGCGCGCGCAGGCGGUCUGCUAAGUUUGGAGUGACAGUUGGUGGCUUAACUGCCAAAGUGCUUCGAAAACUGACAGACUUGAGGGCUUCAGAGGGACACGGAAUUCCGGGUGGAGUGGUGAAAUGCGUAGAGAUCCGGAGGAACACCAAAGGCGAAGGCAGUGUCCUGGGGAGUACCUGACGCUCAGGUGCGAAAGCCAGGGGAGCGAACGGG
rnacentral:rRNA from 1 species